rnacentral:rRNA from 1 species
GAUGAACGCUGGCGGCGUGCCUAAUACAUGCAAGUCGAGCGAACGGACGCUAAGCUUGCUUCUCUGAUGUUAGCGGCGGACGGGUGAGUAACACGUGUAUAACCUCCCUAUAAGACUGGGAUAACUUCGGGAAACCGUAGCUAAUACCGGAUAAUAUUUUGCACCGCAUGGUUCAAAAGUGAAAGACGGUCUUGCUGUCACUUCUAGAUGGAUCCGCGCUGCAUUAGCUAGUUGGUAAGGUAACGGCUUACCAAGGCAACGAUGCAUAACCGAGCUGAGAGGGUGUAGGGCGACACUGGAACUGAGACACGGUCCAGACUCCUACGGGAGGCAGCAGUAGGGAAGCUUCCGAAAUGGGCGAAAGCCUGAAGGAGCAACGCCGCGUGAGUGAUGAAGGUCUUCGGAUCGUAAAACGCUGUUAUUAGGGAAGACCAUAUGUGUAAGUAACUGUGCACAUGUUAACGGUACCUAAUCAGAAAGACACGGCUAACUACGUG